UACGAAGGGGGCUAGCGUUAAUCGGAAUUACUGGGCGUAAAGCGUGCGCAGGCGGUUAUGCAAGACAGAUGUGAAAUCCCCGGGCUUAACCUGGGAACUGCGUUUGAUACGGAUGGGCUAGAGUUCGGGAGAGGAGAGUGGAAUUCCCAGUGUAGAGGUGAAAUUCGUAGAUAUUGGGAAGAACACCGGUGGCGAAGGCGGCUCUCUGGACCGAGACUGACGCUGAGGCGCGAAAGCGUGGGGAGCAAACAGG
rnacentral:rRNA from 1 species